UUUGCUUUCCUGGCUGUGCUGUAGGAAUGCUCCUCUCUAGCUCAGCUGCAGCUUGAUCUCAGACCUGCCUUGUCACAGCAACCUUGCUUCAUGUUCAGGCCCUAUGGGUGAACCUGAUUUAUAGGCCUGCCCUGUUCACCUCAACUUGGUGCUCUGUGAUGGGUUAUCCAUGGGAUUUCCUUCUUACCUGUCCUUAAGGAAACAGCUGGUCCUUGCUGCUCCAUGACAUCUGGUCUGAAAUCAAGGCUCCAAGCAGCACAGAGUUUAUUUCCAGUCUCUUUGCUUCCCCUUUGAGUGGCCAUGCAUCAUUUUGUAUAUAUU
rnacentral:lncRNA from 1 species